rnacentral:lncRNA from 1 species
CAAAGUCAACCCCAAUGUUCACCCCUAAGUUAACCCCGACAUUCACCCCAAAAUCAACCCCAACAUUCACCCCAAAGUCAACCUCAACGUCAACCCCAAAGUCAACCCCAAUGUUGACCCCAAAGUCAACCCCAAUGUCAACCCCAAUCUUAACCCCAAAGUCAACCCCAACAUCGACCCCAAAUCCAACCCCAAAGUCAACCCCAACGUCGAUCUCAAUGUUGACCCCAAUGUUCACCCCAAAAUCAACCCCAAUGCUCAACCUAAUGUCAACCCCAACACUGACCCCAAAGUCAACCCCAACAUUCACCCCAAAGUCAACCCCAAUGUUCACCCCAAUGUCAACCCCAAUGUCAACCCCAAUCUUAACCCCAAUGUUGACCCCAAAGUCAACCCCAAUGUUGACCCCAAUCAUAACCCCAAUGUCAAAACCAAAGUUAAUCCCAACGUUGACCCCAAAGUCAACCCCAGUAUUCAACCCAAUGUCAACCCCAAUCUUAACCCCAAUGUCAACCCCAAUGUUGACCCCAAAGUCCACUCCAAUGUUAACCCCAAUGUUCAACCCAAAGUCGACCCCAAUGUCAACCCCAGUGCUGACCCCAGUGUCACCCCAAUGUGAACCCCAACAUUCACCCCAAAGUCAACCCAUAGGGAAUCAUUGGAUGGAAAUGUUGGCCAUGUCAACCCAUAGGGAAUCAUUACAUGGAAAUGUUGGCCAGGUCAACCCAUAGGAAAUCAAUAACAGAAAUGUCAGCCAGGUCAACCCAUAGGAAAUAAUUGCAGAGAUGUUGGCCAGGCCAACCCAUAGGGAAUC